AGCUCCUACUGCUCCGCGAGCUGAGCGCAGCUGAGACCCCCCUUGACCCUUGCUCGCCCGCGCCGGCGGCUGGCCGAGACGCGAAGUGGCGUGCGGCGGCUGCUUUUUCGAGGGACGCCGACGCGAGAUUUGGGUGCGGAUUGGGUGGCGAGAUGCUGCCGCCGCGCGCAGCGGGCGGGACGGACCCCACCACCUCUCGGGAGGAAAAGAUCCGAC
rnacentral:rRNA from 1 species